GGGCUAUUAGCUCAGCUGGUUAGAGCGCACGGCUGAUAACCGUGAGGUCCCUGGUUCGAGUCCAGGAUGGCCCACUA
rnacentral:tRNA from 1 species